UACGUAGGUGGCAAGCGUUGUCCGGAUUUAUUGGGCGUAAAGCGAGCGCAGGCGGAAAGAUAAGUCUGAUGUGAAAGCCCCCGGCUUAACCGAGGAAUUGCAUCGGAAACUGUGUUUCUUGAGUGCAGAAGAGGAGAGUGGAACUCCAUGUGUAGCGGUGGAAUGCGUAGAUAUAUGGAAGAACACCAGUGGCGAAGGCGGCUUCCUGGUCUGCAACUGACACUGAGGCGCGAAAGCGUGGGGAGCAAACAGG
rnacentral:rRNA from 1 species